UUGACCUCGGAUCAGGUAGGGAUACCCGCUGAGCUUAAGCAUAUCAUAAA
rnacentral:rRNA from 1 species